rnacentral:rRNA from 1 species
GACGAACGCUGGCGGCAUGCCUAAUACAUGCAAGUCGAGCGAACAGAUGAAGUGCUUGCACUUCUGACGUUAGCGGCGAACGGGUGAGUAACACGUAAGGAAUCUGCCUAUAAGCGGGGGAUAACAUUCGGAAACGGGUGUUAAUACCGCAUAAUAUCUUCUUCCGCAUGGAAGAAGAUUGAAAGACGGCUCUGCUGUCACUUAUAGAUGACCUUGCGGUGCAUUAGUUAGUUGGUGGGGUAACGGCCUACCAAGACGAUGAUGCAUAGCCGACCUGAGAGGGUGAUCGGCCACAUUGGGACUGAGACACGGCCCAAACUCCUACGGGAGGCAGCAGUAGGGAAUCUUCCGCAAUGGGCGAAAGCCUGACGGAGCAAUGCCGCGUGAGUGAAGAAGGCCUUCGGGUCGUAAAACUCUGUUAUAAGAGAAGAACAAAUUGUAGAGUAACUGCUACAGUCUUGACGGUAUCUUAUCAGAAAGCCACGGCUAACUACGUGCCAGCAGCCGCCGUAA